UACUUCAUUUUUUGUAAGUUGCUUUGGAUAAAAGCAUCUGCUAAAUGCUAUGUA
rfam:Astyanax mexicanus chromosome 18, whole genome shotgun sequence.